CUUUGGCUUGUGCAGGUCUCAGCAGUACAGUGAUGGUGGUGGCAGUUUCAUUCAGAGAGGCAUCAACGCCUUCAUAGUCAGAUGUCCGAAUGAAGUGCCCUUGACCUCAGGAGACGAGAGGAAAGGCUUGCUAAGCUACACGAGAACACAAUAUAGAACUGAAUGUCUGGAAUGUGUUAUGGCCAAGCCAGGACCACGAGCCUUCCAGAUUCUGCAUUCCUCACUGGCUUACCUGAGAUAUUUGUGGUCACGUUGAUGGCUGUGGCUGGCCCGAAGCCUUUGACGGUGCUGGCUCUUAUGAAGAACUGGUAGGUGGUCCCAGGGUGAAGAUGCAUAAACACAUGGUGUGUGCUGUUCCACAGAUUGGAUACCGUCUGCGGGGGCCCAGCCACUGGGACAGCAGGGUCAAAUGACCUUAUGCUGCUAUAGCUCACCUGUUGUGGGAAAUAUAUUCCCAUGACACAUCAACUGAAGGCAUAAUAAAGUAUAAGUAGAUCCUUUCUAAAUAACAGAGUAUGCAGGAUCAUCAAGCCAUCAUUCUUUCUCUUUCUUCUCCUUUUAUUUUGGUGUGGUUAUUUCUGCCAUCUCUCAUUUCCUAUGUGUCUACCUGUCAUCUAUCUAUCAAUGUAUCACCUACCAUGUAUGUAUGUAUGUAUGUAUGUAUGUAUGUAUGUAUGUAUGUAUGUACCAAUGUAUCUAUCUACCUAUCUAUCUAUCUAUGUAUCUAUGUAUGUAUGUAUGUAUGUAUCUAUCUAUCUAUCUAUGUAUCUAUCUAUGUAUCAUCUAUACAUGUAUGUAUGUAUGUAUCUAUCUAUCUAUCUAUCUUUAUCUAGCAUGUAUCUAUCCAUCCACCCAUCUACCUACCUAUCUAUCAUUUUCUAUCUAUAUUUUGGUAUGGUUAUAUCUGGCAUCUCUCAUCACUAUCAAUCAUCUAUCUAUCUAUUAUCUAUCAACCUAUCAUCUAUCUAUUCAUCUAUCAAUCUAUCAACAUCUAUCUUAUAUCAUCUAUUUCACAUAUUUAAUAUGAACAUCACUACCUAUCAUCUUUCUAUCUACUAUCAAUCUAUAUAAUAAAUUCCCUAUCAUCUAUCAUGCAACUAUUAACAUUUGUCACUGAAUGCCUACUGUGUUAAACACUUAAAUGUUUAAAAGUCCACCAGUAAAGGGAUAUACUUAAAUAUGCAUGCUCCAUACAAAAUUUCUUAUGUAUAAUUUAAUGUGCAUGAAAACAGAAAGUCUUCAUCAGAAGUAUGACAUUCUUCUUUUUUUGUCUAAAGGGAACAUGGCAAGUUCUAGCAACACUUAGCAGCACAGGUUAGUACUCUGUACUACUUGGGAGAGGGAUAUAAGUUCAAGGACAGAGUGACUUUAUGACCAUUUGUGUUAGCUUAGUAAGAAUGUGUCUCAAAACAACAAAAGAAAAGAAAUAUAGAAAACUAGCAUUCAAACACACUAAAAUCGUCAACAACACUCUCAUUCCUAUAUCAUUCUCAAGGACUAGAAACAGAAAUGUUUAUGCUAUAAUCAGCACUGACUAUACACGAGAAAACCUCACAACUAUGCAAUUAGAAAUAUCCAUUUGAAAGUGAUGAAGAAAGGUAUGAAAUUCUAUUUCAAUACAAACACAUUUAAAAAAAAUCACCUUUCUCCUUAGCUUCUUAUAUUCGAAAAUAUGGUGAUUUAUAUUCAAAGGUACAAUGAAAUUCUAAAUAGGUUUUUAAUCUGUUUUGCUUUGGGGGUGACUAUUAAUUGCUUACUUUGAAAAACUGGC
ensembl:lncRNA